AUAGCUCAGUCGGUAGAGCAGAGGAUUGAAAAUCCUCGUGUCGGUGGUUCGAUUCCGCCU
rnacentral:tRNA from 1 species